CAAGCUUGUCACUCCGUGUCUCCUGGUCGUUCUUGCUGGUGAGAUCACAAGUAGGCAGAGAGGCAGGCAGAGAGAGAGAGAGAGGGAAGCAGGCUCCCUGCUGAGCAGAGAGCCCAAUGCGGGGCUCGAUCGAGAACCCUGGAAUCAUGACUUGAGUCGAAGGCAGAGGUUUUAACCCACUGAGCCACCCAGGCGCCCCAGACAAGGAGAGACUCUUAGCAUCAUCAUUUGACUGGUUCCUUCAGGCAGAAAUCUGGGAGAACAAAAUGAUAAACACUUUUCCAGCGGUUUGUGGAAGAAAGCUGAUCUUCCAUCUAGUAGACCCAAAGUGCCUGAAACAAAAUGGAUAUUUACGGAUAAACCUCUUAGGGCUACAGAUUCAUCAUUUCGCUUUGUUUCUCUGAGAAGCUCAGGAGAGUUUUGUGAUUUACUAGCUGGGGAGUAAUUUAUUUAUUGCUGACAGCUGGGCUCUGAAAGAGGAACCAGCACAAGUAUCAAUAUAGAAUGGCACAAAAUAAGGAUUACCAGAAUAUUGUGUCUUCCCUUAUGAUAUGGGGGGCCAAAUAGUCAAAUGUUGAUUGGAAUUAACAUUUUAUAUGAGAUUGUCAUGCCAAUGACACCGGAUCUUCAGGGUAUUCCUAAAGAUUCUUCUGUCAUUUGACUUUCACAGAAGAAAAAGAGAAAACAUGGUAUUAGAUGACUUAGUCCUAAAGCUGUGAUAGCUGGCAGGAAGUAAAUGACUUUAUUGGAAGACUGGAAAAUAUCAAGAAUUUUGACACCAUUACAGCACAAUGCAGGCUCUGUUUUCCCAAAAUAAAGCCUAGGUAAGUGCAGAUAAUCAUAUUAGCAUACAAAAAGACACAAACCUGGAGUUACAAUAUUAACCUCUCCUGCCUGGGCCACACUGAGGCACAGAAUAAUAUACUGCCUUAGCACUGGCUAACUUGUAACAAGGUCCAGGCUUGAUUCCAAGAUGACCCUGGGGUUGUUUUGGCAAGAAGCCCUAGAUCAAAACAUGUGAUAUGUGGAGACACCAGGAGACCUAUCUAGAAGAAUGUUGCUAUAGCCAUUGUCAGAGAAAUUACUGCAUUUGUUAUCUCCAAGAAUUUUUAUGGUGUCAGAUCUCCAUUUAAGUCUUUAAUCCAUGGUGAGUUUAUUUUUGUGAAUGGUGAAAGAAGAUGUUCCAUUUUCAUUCAUUUGCAUGUUGCUUUCCAGUUUUCCCAACAUCAUUUGUUGAAGAGACUGUCUUUCUUAUUGGAUAUUCUUUCCUCCUUUGUCAAAGAUUAACAGACUAUAUAACUAUAAGUUUAUUUCUGGGUUUUCAGUUUUAUUCUAUUGAUCUAUACAUCUGCUUUUAUGCCAGUACUAUACUGUUUUAAUUACAACCACUUUGGUAAGGGUAUCGGGUACAUACCUCAAUAUCAUAAAAGCCAUCCAUUAAAAACCGAUAACAAAUAUCAUUCUCAAUGGGGAAGAACUGAGAACUUUUCCCCUAAGGUCAGGAACAUGGAAGGGAUGGCCACGAUCACCACUGCUAUUCAACAUAGUACCAGAGGUCCUAGCCUCAGCAAUCAGAUAACAGAAAGAGAUAAAAGGUAUCCAAAUGGGAAAAGAAGUCAAACUCUCACUCUUUGCAGAUGACAUGCAGAUGUGAAAACACAAAAGACUCCACUCAAAGACUGCUAGAACUCAUACAGGAAUUCAGUAAAGUGUCAGAGUAUAAAAUCAAUGCACAGAAAUCGGUUGCAUUUCUAAACACCAACAAAACAGAAGAAAGAGAAAUUAAGGAGUUGGUCCCAUUUACAAAUGCAACCCAAACCAUAAGAUACCUAGGAAUAAACCUAAUUAAAGAGGCAAAGAAUCUGUACUCAGAAAACUAGAGCAUACUCAUGAAGGAAAUUGAGGAAGCCACAAAGAAAUGAAAAAAGUUCCAUGCUCAUGGAUUGGAAGAAUAAAUAUUGUGAAAAUAUAUAUGUUACCUAAAGCAAUCUGCACAUUUAAUGCAACUGCUAUGAAAAUACCACCAACGUUUUUCAAAGAAAUAGAACAAAUAAUCCUAAAAUUUAUGAGGAACCAGAAAAGACCCCAAAUAGCCAGAGGUAUGUUGAAAAAGAAAGCCAAAGUUGGUGGCAUCACAAUUUCAGACUUCAAGCUCUAUUACAAAGCUGUCAUCAUCAAGACAGCAUGGUACUGGCAUGAAAACAGACACAAAGAUCAAUGGAAAUGAAUAGAGAGCCCAGAAAUGGACCCUCAAUUCUAUGGUCAACUGAUCUUUGACAAAGCAGGAGAGAAUGUUCAAUGGAAAAAGACAGUCUCUUCAAUAAAUGGUGUUGGGAAAAUUGGACAGCCCCAUGCGGAAGAAUGAAAUUGGACCAUUUCCUUACACCACACACAAAAAUAGACUCAAAAUGGAUGAAAGACCUCAAUGUGAGACAGAAAUCCAUCAAAAUCCUUGAGGAGAACUCAGGCAGCAACCUCUUUCUCCUCAACUACAGCAACUUCUUCCUAGAAACAUCACCAAAGACAAGGGAAGCAAGGGCAAAAAUGAACUAUUGGGACUUCCUCAAGAUGAAAAGCUUUUGCAUAGCAAAGGAAACAAUCAGCAAAACCAAAAGACAACCAAUAGAAUAGGAGAAGAUACUUGCAAAUGACAUAUCAGAUAAGGGUUAGUAUUCCAAAUCUAUAAAGAAUUUAUCAAAUUCAACACCCAAAGAACAAAUAAUCCAAUCAAGAAAUGGGCAGAACACAUGAACAGACAUUUCUGCAAAGACGACAUCUAAAUGGCCAAUAGACACAUGAAAAAGUGCUCAACAUCACCCAGCAUCAGGGAAAUACAAAUCAAAACCACAGUGAGAUAUCACCUGACACCAGUCAGAAUGGCUAAAAUUAGCAAGUCAGGAAAUGACAGAUGUGGGCCAGGAUGCAGAGAAAGGGAAACCCUCCUGCACUGUUGGUGGGAAUGCAAGCUGGUGCAGCCACUCUGGAAAACAGCAUGGAGGCUUCUCAAAAAGUUGAAAAUAGAGCUAUCCUAUGACCCAGCAAUUGCUCUACUAGGUAUUUACCCUAAAGAUACAAAUGUAGUGAUCUGAAGGGGCACAUGCACCUGAAUGUUUAUAGCAGCAAUGUCCACAAUAGCCAAACUAUGGAAAGAACCUAGAUGUCCAUCAACAGAUGAGUGGCUAAAGAAGAUGUGAUAUACCUACAUACAUACACACAUACAAUGGAAUACUAGGCAGCCAUCAACAACAACCGAAAGCUUGCCAUUUGAAUAACAUGGAUGGAACUAGAGGGUAUUAUGCUAAGCAAAAUAAAUCAGUCAGAGAAAGACAAUUAUCAUAUGAUCUCUCUGAUAUGAGGAAUCUGAGAAACAAGAUAGAGGAUCAUAGGGGAAGGGAGGGAAAAAUGAAACAAGAUGAAAUCAGAGAGGGAGACAAACCAUAAGAGACUAUUAAUCUGAAGAAACAAACUGAGGAUUGCUGGAAGGAAGGGGGAUGGGAGGGAUGGGGGUGGCUGGGUGAUGGACACUGAGGAGGGCAUGUGCUAUGGUGAGUGCUGUGAAUUGUGUAAGACUGGUGAAUCACAGACCUGUACCCCUGAAACAAAUAAUACAUUAUAUGUUAAUAAAAAAUUACAACCAC